GGCGAGACGUGGGCCCAAUUCAGAGACUAAUGGUCAAGAGGUGAUCGAUGAGGAGCCAUAGUGGUGGAGUCCACCGGUCGAGGCAGCAAUGCUAAGUUUUCUACCUAAGGUCGUCCCCAAUAGGGUUGCAUCGAGAGGAUUUUAAAAACAAUCGACGUGACACUGGAAUAAGGAGGGAAAAAAAGUUGACUUGCUUGAUUGAAAACCAUUACACCCCUAAGUCCUGACCAUCAACGCCCAGCAAUGGUCACUCCGAUCUCGUCAAAUUUCGGCCAAUCUAUGUGAGCUCAUCCACUCCUCAUUCUUAAUUUGCGCCUCAUUAUCGCGUUCAAGUCAUCUUCGACCAGACGUUUUAGAGGCUACUACACAUAGCGAAGAAGAGUAAAGCUCCACUUUCCCCAAAUCCCUAUAGGUAUCAUCACUCUUGUGGCUUGACAUAUUUAUAAUUUUGUUUAGCAAACUGCGGCUUGUUAUAUACCGUAAAGUUAGAUGAUUGUCGCUGUUGUCCAAAAUGAGACUUUAGCUUUAUGCUGUAAUGUUGCUUAGGAAGCUAAUUACUUGGUCUUUAAACUUCGAUUGUAUGAGAUUUCUAUUGAAAAUGAAAUUUAGCUAUUUUUGUCUUUUUA